CACAUCUUAGUGUUUAGACUUACUUCUGAAUGUAAAGGCCCCUAGCACAACAGAAAGGGCAUUUAAGGAGAGAAAGCUUAGGAACUCUGACACCUAGGAACUUGCUCUGAGAUUUCACCACUCCUGUGUCCUUUCGUUAAUCUGCCAGAUGUUCCUGAUCAGCCAAUGUUUGGAAGAAGGGUAGUUACUGGUCUGCAGCAGGGCACUGGGGCAGGACGCGAGGAGGAAGGCACUGCUUUGGGCCCGGGCAAGGGCCAACUAUAUGUGACCCCAGGAGCUCCCCUUUUCCACCCCAGGGGCCCCACCUUUGUGUCCAGAGGCCCCUCUACCUAACUGUGUCCUGCAUUCGUGGGUUCUUGGUCUCACUGACUUCAAGAACGAAGCCACGGACCCUUGCAGUGAGUGUUACAGCUCUUAAGGUGGUGCGUCUGGAGUUUGUUCCUUCUGAUGUUCGGACGUGUUCGGAGUUUCUUCCUUCUGUGUGGGUUCGUGGUCUAGCUGGCUCAGGAGUGAAGCUACAGACCUUCGCGGUGAGUGUUACAGCUCUUAAGACGGCGCAUCUGGAGUUGUUCAUCCCUCCCGGUGGGCUCGUGGUCUCGCUGGCUUCAGGAGUGAAGCUGCAAACCUUAGCGAAACAUCUUCCAAGAGCCUGCCAUCAGCUCU
rnacentral:lncRNA from 10 species